rnacentral:rRNA from 1 species
UACAGAGGGUGCGAGCGUUAAUCGGAAUUACUGGGCGUAAAGCGUGCGUAGGUGGAUACCUAAGUCGAAUGUGAAAUCCCCGGGCUUAACCUGGGAACUGCAUCCGAUACUGGGUAUCUGGAGUAUAGUAGAGGAAAGUGGAAUUCCCGGUGUAGCGGUGAAAUGCGUAGAUAUCGGGAGGAACAUCAGUGGCGAAGGCGACUUUCUGGACUAAUACUGACACUGAGGCACGAAAGCGUGGGGAGCAAACAGG